UCCAGCUUGCUGGGGGGAUUAGUGGCGAACGGGUGAGUAACACGUGAGUAACCUGCCCUUGACUCUGGGAUAAGCCUGGGAAACUGGGUCUAAUACCGGAUACGACCGAUCACCGCAUGGUGUGUUGGUGGAAAGCUUUUGCGGUUUUGGAUGGACUCGCGGCCUAUCAGCUUGUUGGUGGGGUAAUGGCCUACCAAGGCGACGACGGGUAGCCGGCCUGAGAGGGUGACCGGCCACACUGGGACUGAGACACGGCCCAGACUCCUACGGGAGGCAGCAGUGGGGAAUAUUGCACAAUGGGCGAAAGCCUGAUGCAGCGACGCCGCGUGAGGGAUGACGGCCUUCGGGUUGUAAACCUCUUUCAGUAGGGAAGAAGCGUAAGUGACGGUACCUGCAGAAGAAGCGCCGGCUAACUACGUGCCAGCAGCCGCGGUAAUACGUAGGGCGCAAGCGUUAUCCGGAAUUAUUGGGCGUAAAGAGCUCGUAGGCGGUUUGUCGCGUCUGCUGUGAAAGACCGGGGCUCAACUCCGGUUCUGCAGUGGGUACGGGCAGACUAGAGUGAUGUAGGGGAGACUGGAAUUCCUGGUGUAGCGGUGAAAUGCGCAGAUAUCAGGAGGAACACCGAUGGCGAAGGCAGGUCUCUGGGCAUUAACUGACGCUGAGGAGCGAAAGCAUGGGGAGCGAACAGGAUUAGAUACCCUGGUAGUCCAUGCCGUAAACGUUGGGCACUAGGUGUGGGGGACAUUCCACGUUUUCCGCGCCGUAGCUAACGCA
rnacentral:rRNA from 1 species